rnacentral:rRNA from 1 species
UUGCUCUUCAACGAGGAAUCCCUAGUAAGCGCAAGUCAUCAGCUUGCGUUGAUUACGUCCCUGCCCUUUGUACACACCGCCCGUCGCUACUACCGAUUGAAUGGUUCAGUGAGGCGUUGGGACUGGCCCAGGGAGGUCGGCAACGACCACCCAGGGCCGGAAACUUCUCCAAACUCGAUCAUUUAGAGGAAGUAAAAGUCGUAACAAGGUCUCCGUUGGUGAACCAGCGGAGGGAUCAUUGCUGGAACAAACGCCCUCACGGGCGCUACCCAGAAACCCUUUGUGAACUAUACUUAAUCGUUGCCUCGGCAUUGGUUGACUUCGAAUGAAGUCCCUGAAUUCCUUCUGGAAGUUAGGAGCCGACCGGCCGACGGCCCUUAUAAACUCUUGUUUUUGUAUUAUCUUCUGAGUAAAACAACUAAAAUGAAUCAAAACUUUCAACAACGGAUCUCUUGGUUCUGGCAUCGAUGAAGAACGCAGCGAAAUGCGAUAAGUAAUGUGAACUGCAGAAUUCAGUGAAUCAUCGAAUCUUUGAACGCACAUUGCGCCCAGUGGUAUUCCACUGGGCAUGCCUGUUCGAGCGUCAUUUCAACCCUCAAAAGCUUGCUUUUGGUGUUGGAGGAAUACCUGUAAAAGGGUACCCUCUGAAAUUUAGUGGCGGGCUCGCUAGAAUUUUGAGCGUAGUAAUUUUACCUCGUUUUUAAAGACUAGUGGGACUUCUUGCCGUAAAACCCCCAACUUUCUGAAAUUUGACCUCGGAUCAGGUAGGAAUACCCGCUGAACUUAAGCAUAUCAAUAAGCGGAGGA